UGCAUGGAGAAAAGGCCUUCACAAGCCUCUGCAAAUGUGUACCUAGUUUAUACCAAGUGACCCAUUGGUUGAGGUGGCGGUGACUGUGGCGGUGAAGGAGGAGGAUAAGGUAGCCAACACUGUUUAUAUAUUUUAAUUGGGAAGCCCCCAAAAUAUUGGGACAUAUAAAAAAAAGAUAACUCUGUUCCGCAGAGUAGCUGUUGACAUUAUAGUUGCGCAGACACUUUGUUGACUCUAGAGAACCUCGGGCCAAUCGCACAUCCCCGUGGCGGCAACUUUGCAUGCGGAUGUCAUCCAUAUCAACUUUCUAUGCCAGUUUCUGCUCCUACCAUGGUGACCACGGAUAGCGGGAAUCAGGGUUCCAUUCCGUACAGGGACCCUGAGAAACGGCUGCCACAUGCAAGGAAGGCAGCAGGCGCGCAAAUGACCCACUCCUGACGCGGGAAGCUAGUGACGACAAAUAACAAUACAGGACUCUUUAGAGGCCCUGUAAUUGUAAUGAGUCCACUUGAAAAUCCUUUAACACUGAUCAAUUGGAGGGAAGUCUUGUGCAGAGCCACUGACGCGUGUGUGCUGCAGCUGAAACUCCACU